rnacentral:rRNA from 1 species
UACAGAGGUGGCAAACGUUGUUCGGAAUUACUGGGCGUAAAGCGCGUGUAGGCGGCCCUGCAAGUCGGAUGUGAAAUCCCACGGCUCAACCGUGGAAGUGCAUUCGAAACUGCAGGGCUAGAGUCCUGGAGAGGAAGGUGGAAUGCUUGGUGUAGAGGUGAAAUUCGUAGAUAUCAAGCGGAACACCGGUGGCGAAGGCGGCCUUCUGGACAGUGACUGACGCUGAGACGCGAAAGCGUGGGGAGCAAACAGG